rnacentral:rRNA from 1 species
GACGGAGGAUGCAAGCGUUAUCCGGAAUUAUUGGGCGUAAAGCGUCCGCAGGUGGCUGUUCAAGUCUGCUGUCAAAGCGCAGAGCUUAACUCUGUACAGGCGGUGGAAACUGAAGAGCUAGAGUAUGGUAGGGGUAGAGGGAAUUCCCGGUGUAGCGGUGAAAUGCGUAGAUAUCGGGAAGAACACCAGUGGCGGAAGCGCUCUACUGGGCCAUAACUGACACUGAGGGACGAAAGCUAGGGGAGCGAAAGGG